rnacentral:rRNA from 1 species
UCGGGCGGCUGGAUAAAGUCCGCUGGAAUGUAGCUCCUCUCGGGGAGUGUUAUAGCCAGCGGUGCCAUGCAGCCCGCCCGGACCGAGGACCGCGCUUCGGCUAGGAUGCUGGCGUAAUGGUUGUAAGCUCCCCGUCUUGAAACACGGACCAAGGAGUUUAACAUCUAUGCGAGUGUUUGGGUGUCAAACCCAUGCGCGUAAUGAAAGUGAACGGAGGUGGGAACCCUCAAGGGUGCACCAUCGACCGAUCCUGAUGUUUUCGGAUGGAUUUGAGUAAGAGCAUAGCUGUUGGGACCCGAAAGAUGGUGAACUAUGCCUGAAUAGGGUGAAGCCAGAGGAAACUCUGGUGGAGGCUCGCAGCGGUUCUGACGUGCAAAUCGAUCGUCAAAUUUGGGUAUAGGGGCGAAAGACUAAUCGAACCAUCUGGUACUAGAUGGCACACGGGCCUUGCGCCCCAGUAGUCCCCGCGCAGCAGGGGCGACAUCGUCGGUCUCUUCGGGAACGCUUUGGGCUACCCGCAGUGAGCCCCGGGCUCAUUCUGGCGGUGGCCGUGGCCCGGAGCACGGUUAGGAUA